rnacentral:lncRNA from 1 species
CGACGUAGAUGCUAUUAUCAUCCCCAAGAUCACACUGCUACACGGCGGGCUUCCCCAGCGGCCACGUGAGGUGUGAUGCCCCCACCGCUGAGCGCAGGCACAGACCACCCAGCUGCCUUGGAGGGAUUUGUAAAAGGUGAACAUUGUCACUAUUUUCAAUACUUUUUUUGUGUUUCUUUUCAAAAAGAUAUAAUUUAUGUUAACAUGUAAUGGGCUUAUUAUUUUUUUAAUUCACUAGUAUCUUUAAAAAAUCUCUCAGUUUAAUUUCUAAUAUCAAUAGAUAUUCUCACAUAAACAAAUACUCUUUGAGGGCCUCAAUAUUUUUUUUAUUUUAUUUUAUUAUUUUUUUCUGAGACAGAGUCUCGCUCUGUUGCCCAGGCUGGAGUGCAGUGGUGUGAUCUCGGCUCACUGCAACAUCUGCCUCCCGUGUUCAAGAAAUUCUUCUCCCUCAGCCUCCCGUGUAGCUGGGAUUAUAGACGUGCGUCACCAUGCCCAGCUAACUUUUGUAUUUUUAGUAGAGACGGGGUUUCACCAUGUUGGCCAGGCUGGUCUCGAACUCCCGACCUCGGGUGAUCCACCUGCCUCAGCCUCCCAAAGUGCUGGGAUUACAGGCAUGAGCCACUGUGCCUGGCCUAUUUUAUUUUAUUUUACUAGUGUUACUUUUUGAGAUGGAAUUUCACUCUUGUCGCCCAGGCUGCAGUACAGUGGUGUUCACUGCAACCUCUGCCUCCCGGGUUCAAGCGACUCUCUCGCCUCAGCCUCUCAAGUAGCUGGGAUUACAGGAACCCGCUACCAUGCCUGGCUAAUUUCUGUAUUUUUAGUAGAGACGGUGUUUCACCAUGUUGGCCAGGCUGGUCUUGAACUCCUGACCUCAGGUGAUUCGCCCGCCUUGGCCUCCCAAAAUGCUGGGAUGACAGGCAUGAGCCACUGCGCCAGGCCUCCAUGUUUUUUAAGGCUGUAAAGUAGUCCUAAAAGAAAAUGUGGGAGCCACUAAUGUAUAGCAAAUUUCUGAAAUUCUCCCAGAUAGCUUCAAUGUCUACACAGCUUUGGUUGCAAGAGAUGAUUAUCUAUUUAUCUCAUCAUAAGGUCAAACUGUCGGCCAUAGAAAGGACUUUACGGUAAGCAACUUCAUUAGCCUACAGUGCUUCUUUGUGGUUCAUUCCAGUGACAGCCUCAGGUGGCUAUGAAGCCACGUGGCUUCAGAGGAGGGAAGAGGCAGACAAGGGCAGAACCCACAGUGCAACAGAAAGAGCGUGGCCGCUGAGAUCAGAGAGACCUGGGUUCAGAUUCCAGCCUCUUUUUACAGAUUCAAAGAGACUCAAGAGAAUAUCAAACGAAUGCAGAGCCAACUGGGAAAAUCUAAAUACCGACCAGGCAUUGAAUUAUAUUAAGGAGUUAUUUUUAAUUUUGUUAAGUGUAAUAGCGGCAUUGUGGUUAUGUUUUUUAAAAAAGGUUCUCGUCGGCCUUAAACUGCUGGAGACAUUUCAAGGUACAAUACUAUACUAGCCAGUCACGGGACUGAGGUGGGAGGUAGGUUUGGAGAGACUGGCAGAAUGCUGAUAAUGAGUGAAGCUGAGGAUGGGCACCACAGGCCUUUUAUAACUCUUCUGUUUGAGUAUAUUUAAAAUUUUGCACCAUUCAUCGGGUUUCUUUUUUAUUUUGAGACAGCGUCUCUCUCUUGCCCAGGCUGGAAUGCAAUGGCGCAAACAUGGCUCACUGCAGCCUCAACCUCCUUGGGCUUAGGUGAUCCUCCCCACCUCAGCCUCCUGAGUAGCUCGAACCACAGGCACGUGCCACCACGCCUUUUUUUUUUUCAUAGAGACAGGGUCUCACCAUCUUGCCCAGGCUGGCCUCAAACUGCUGGACUCACACGAUCCUCUGGCCUCAGCCUCCCAAAGUGUUGGGACUAUAGGCGUGAGCCACCAUGCUCAGCUGCAUUUUUUCAAAUCCUAGUCCUUCACCUAUUAGCUAAGGCCCUUAAACAAGUCACUUAACCUUUUAGAAUGGAAAAUAAUACUCAUUCUUGUAGGGUGUUGUCAGGAUUGAAAAAAAAUGGCUGAGGUAGAACUCUUACUCCUGGAGUCUGGCCCAAAGUGAUCAUGAUAAUAGCUGAUGUUUAUUCAGCACAUAUGCUUCCCAGGUAUUAUCUUAUUCAACCCUCACAACCAACCCAUGAUCUAGGUAGCAUUAUCUCCAUUUUUCAAAUGAGUAAACUGAGGCAAUCAGAAGUUUAAAAAUCUACUCAAGGUCAUACAGCAAGAUGCAAACCCUGGGAGUCUCAUCCCAGACCUCGUGUGCUCUAUACUUUCCCCUGUAGACACUCAAAAAAUGGUGGGUUUUGUUUUGAACAUGUCAUAUCAACACAGCUUACAUAAACACACUCUGGCAACUGGAUGCUAUGUAAAAAAUAUCAGGACAGUUAAAUUGCUUUAAAAUCUACUCCUACCAGGAAACAACCCAUGUACCUGUUAAGUGCAGAUGUCAGCCUGAACCCAGGAUGCUUUUCGUCUUUCCAAGGAGGCUGCUGCCUUUAAAAACCAGAACAACAUAAAAGGAAAAGAAGUCAAUCCACAGACAGCAAAGGAGGGCCUCAGCACUUGCAUUUGAGAACUGGCUCUUCUACUCACCUCGCUCUGCAAGAGUUACUUAAAAAUACCCCACACCUCGCUCAUUUUGCUCAUCAUUGUUAAAAUGAGGUAAGACUCCAUGAUCCUUCCAGUCCUGUGAUCUCUGAUUUCCAGUAUAAAAACUACUACAAACCCAUAAGGCACAGGAUUAGCUAGCUGGGCAGAUGAGGAGUUCAGUGUGCAUGUAGGGGGCGCCGUGGCAAUCUUGGAUGCAAAAAUUUUGCAUUCCCCUACCAAUGGCCAUGAAGAGGAAUAGAAUUGUUACAGUUGCCCAGGGUAUGAAAAUAUUAAGUCUAACCAGUCCUGGUGCUCUGAAAAGCAGAAGACAUUUCUUGGAUACAUAAAAGAAAAAUAACAGUUUGGAGAUGACUUUUACUGAUGUAAUAAAAUAUUGUAUUUAUUCUACAACCCUGGAUCCCAAGAUUCUUGAGGGCAGCUGAAAACCUACCUGAGGUGGGGACCCACUGUUACCCAUCUUUAUUUCCUUUCCCAGAUCCAGACUACAUUAUACACAGUAAGUUCUCAGUCAGUAUUUGCCCAGAGAAUGGAUGGAGAGUAGACUUCAAUCCGGAGAGCUAAAUAUUUUUGAUACACACAUUUUAAAUGUGUCCUAAAUCUGACUUGGUGAUCUGAAAAUGAUACUAGGCACACAACAGAUGCAGCAGGGGCUUUUUCUCAGUUAAUUCUAUUUCCUGUUACCCUCUGUAUUGGGUACAAAAAUACUCAAAGAGACCUUAAAUCAAAUACACUGUGCAAAUUACCAUUUUAAGAGUCUUUUGUCCUUUUCAGCAGCUUACUAAGACACUCUGAGAAAAGAUGCUUAUUUUUCUUUCUUUU